AUGGAUUACAAAUAUCCCUCCUGAUGCACGUUUGGAAUUAAGAGAGUAUGUGUUCCCUGAGCACAAACCAUAUGUGAAACUUAUACAUAGUCCUGGAUCUAGUAAUGCAACAGUGAGGACUAACAUGUCACUGGAUGUUGAUGCUCUUCAGAGUGAACAGCUCUUUUAUGCUGUGGUUUGUCAAAGGAUUGGAAUGAUUCAUGAGAUAGAGAAUGUACGGAUUUUGGCCUUAGAAGACAUAAAUGACAAUUCUCCAGAAUUUCUACAAACUAGCUAUAGCACUUCACUUUCAGAG